ensembl:lncRNA
UGUCUUUGUGGUAUCUCAUAGCCCAGGGCAAAUAAAAUCUCACCGAUUUUCUGCACAAAAAAUGUUUUUGCAUGUUUUUUUUUAUCCCGUCUUUGCGACACUGCUCAUGGAUUUUACUUUAAACGUCCCUCCAUCAGCAAAGCACUCAAAACCUUGAUUUUCAUUUAAAUAUUUGGUUAAAAGACCAGUUUGUUGGUUGAAAAGUCUUUUAAUAAAGUUUAGAAACCGGACAUACAAAUGCUACAAAAAAGUCUUUAUUUCCCGACUGAUAUUCAAACUAAAUUAAACUUUCUAUUGUCGCAGAUAAAAGGAUUGACACAUCUCUAAAACUAUUAUAUCUAAGUAGGUAGAACAAAUGUUGGUUCUGCCUAGUCCCGGUCCACUCUGCUGUCAUUGGUUAAUACUGCUCUGCUUUGAUUGGUUAAAAAUACAGUGACGUAACUAGCUAAUAGUGCUCGGCUGUAAUUGGUCAAUUAGUGCUGCUGUGCUGUUAUUAGUUAAUGAUACUGUGAUUGUAAAUACUACAGUGAUGUUAUUGGUAAAUACUACAGUGAUGUUAUUGGUAAAUACUACAGUGAUGUUAUUGGUAAAUACUACAGUGAUGUUAUUGGUAAAUACCGCAGUGAUGUUAUUGGUAAAUACCACAGUGAUGUUAUUGGUAAAUACCACAGUGAUGUUAUUGGUAAAUACCACAGUGAGGUUAUUGGUAAAUACCACAGUGAGGUUAUUGGUAAAUACCACAGUGAGGUUAUUGGUAAAUACUACAGUGAGGUUAUUGGUCUGGCUAACAUUGCCAGUUAAUCAGCCAAUCACAGCACAGCAGGGCGGGAUUAGGCGGUGCACGCUCCGUAAAAGACACCGCGGCCUAUUACAAUCUCACGUGUAAAGGACAUCUGGCUACACGCUACUCAGAAGAUGUUCUGAGACAAAUUGUCUUGCCUUCUAUCGCUGAUUUGUCCAGUUUGGCACACUGGUGUGCAGUGAGAAUUAUCGCCUCUCGGACCCUCCAGCAGUGUUUGUUUACGCUGGUUCCCCUCAACCUGAGGCGAGUGCUCCCCACUGACUUGUUGCUGCUUGUUUUCUACAUUCGGUGGGAGAAGAGCAUGUUGAGACCUGAAGGGAGAGGAGGCGGUGGAAAGGAAAGGAAACAGAAAAGGAUUUCAUGUGGGAUUCUCCAUGUUGCUUCUGCGCUGCAGGUUACUGACGGUUACCGACGGCUGAAAACCACUGAAUAAAUAUCACUGAAAAGUUUCUGUCAUCGUCAUUACUGCACAAAGAAUACAUUCAAUUUAUAUUUCAGCUUUUUGGUGUCCACAUUUUUGACCUUUAGGCCCAUUUGCACUCAAAAUGUAAAAAGAAAAUCAUAAGAUAAUUUCACCAACUUCAGUCUCGACGAUUAGCUGCUUCCAAAUAUUUCUAUAUACUUCUCAUAUUGCACCUGCAAAAACACCAUUCAUACCACAUGCAUUAACGCUGCCCAAAUGAGAGAAAAAUGUGACCUUUUUAAUCCCGAUUGAUCCCCAGAGAUGCAGGCGGGCAAAGGGAACAAGCCCGCGCAUGGUCUCAUGUUGGGGGGGGGGGGGGGGGGGGGGGGGCUACUGUACAGCUGGCCCGACCCCUCACACUCCGCAGCACAUCAAAACAGCUUUCACCUUUUUUGUGCUGCUGCCAUUUUAAACAGAGCUCGACUAAGCCGAUUGCCCCGCGAAGAAUGGCCGACCCUCCUCUGCCCUCACAUCUGCCCCCUUUGAAGUGCCGAGCUGUUGGGACAGACCUGAGCCCAGGAAGAGAGCGGCAAAUUGGACGUUAAUCCCCGUCCGAGCCGCCAGAGACGUCAGCUGGAAAGAAGAAAAAAAAAAAAAGGGGGUCGGGUGGCGGUGCGAUUGGCGCUGUUCCUCUGUAGCUUUUGUCCCCCGCCGUCGCAUUCUCCGCGCGGCAGAUGCAGGGCCCUCCGACCCGCCGGCCGAUCCGGGGGGAUUUUCCUUUCCCGGUGGCUGAUGAAUGGCGAUGUGAAAGGAGCAGGUGCUGCCUAUUAUCAGUGGCUCUGGCGUUGCGGCGCGUCCACAUUGGAGAGCGGGAAACGGGGCCCGAUCGGCGCUAACUCGUGCACAACUUAAAAGGAAGAGCGGGAGGAGGCUUUGUCUCCCGCCGGAUUCCGGGGUUCACUACCAGUUUAACGCAUGAUCGAGGAAAAAGCGGCUGUUUCUUUGCCGUGCCGAGGCCUUUUGAUCUGAGAGCGGCGGAAUGCAAUUAGGUAAAUGUACUCAUGCACUGCGUUUAAGUGUGUUUACCACAUUCCACAUGGAAAUAAUGUACUUUUGACUUCACUUCAGUGAAUUGGUGGAUGUUUGCUCACAAAACACUGCAUCUGAAAUGAUUCAUUAACCGAAAUACGUUCAUGGUUUCAGCCUCAGAGGAUUUACUGCUUUUUCAUUUGAAUUAUUUCAGUAUUCAUUUCUUUUUUAUGUCUUUUAAACUCCAAAAAACAACAAGUAAUGAGAGAAAAUAUCACUAGAUGAAUCCAUAAUGUCAUUAAUCCUUAAAGACAUGUUGCAUAUAAUCAUCUAAUUGUUUAAUAAAUCAUGAAGUAAUUGUACUUUUACACAAAACAACACUUACCUUAAUUGUCCCACUGCUUCGUCUGUAGAAUGU